rnacentral:lncRNA from 1 species
UCCACAUUUUUUAAUCCUUUUUUUUCCCUUCAUCAGUGUGUUAGAUUAGAUUAUGUUACUGCCAUUCGGUGGAAGGUCUUGUGGCCCAUAACUACUGAUUUGCUCAUCUUGCCUUUGCAUAUAUCUUUGUUAUCCUUGUCUAAACAUCCCUUAUCUUGCCUUUGCAUAUAUCUUUGUUAUCCUUGUCUAAACAUCCCUCCCUCUGUUUCCCCACAAUUUAGCUGCAUGUUACUCUGUAAAAACAAAGUUCAAUCUUAAAGCAAACCAAUCCAUGUAGGUCAGUUUAUGUAUCUUAAUUCUUAC